rnacentral:rRNA from 1 species
GACAGCAGCAGCCGCGGGAAUACGGAGGGUGCAAGCGUUAAUCGGAAUUACUGGGCGUAAAGCGCACGCAGGCGGUCUGACAAGUCAGAUGUGAAAUCCCUGAGCUUAACUUAGGAAUUGCAUUCGAUACUGGGAAGCUAGAGUAUGGGAGAGGAUGGUAGAAUUCCAGGUGUAGCGGUGAAAUGCGUAGAGAUCUGGAGGAAUACCGGUGGCGAAGGCGGCCCCCUGGACAAAGACUGACGCUCAGGUGCGAAAGCGUGGGGAGCAAACAGGAUUAGAUACCCCUGUAGUCCCUGUCUCUUAUAC